AGGACUUCUGCGGUCCUCCUCGGACCAUCACUUUGUCAUUUCUCGAUUUUGUCUUUUUUUGAAGGGACCGCGUUGUCAGGCGAGGGACGGAAUCUUGGAGGCUCCCUGGGCCCAGUGAAACAGGAGCGAGAAAGGCACGAGAGUCGGGGAAGUUCCGCCUUCGUGACAUACAAGCGCCCCCACCGCGGCGAAUAUCGCCCCCGAGCCCCAGUGUUCGCCCCCCGCCUUAGAUGAAGCCGGCCCAGUGGGACACUCAGGUUGCACCGCGCGGAGGUGUCUGGGGCUCCCGGGAGUCGUGGCCCUUGGCGUUGUGUCGGCUUUAUGGAGCGCGAGGCCGAGGCCAAGAAAAGCUACGCGUUGGGAGGUCUUGACCCAGCGUGCCCCCGGCUGUAGGCAUGGACCGUGCGCCAAAGGUCUCCUGGCACCCACUCCGCUGGACUCAGCACCAUUGUCCUAAGUCUCCCAUUGAGAAGUAUCUGCCCCAGGUCCUCUGGGGGCCCCACUGAAUAGUGUGGAGCGUUCACAGGUUGGGGGUCACCAUUUCAGAAAUCAGUUUGUUGAGAUGUGGAGGGUACAGGAGGAGGGAUCUGCAUAUGCGAAGACUUGGACUUGACACUGACCUAAGCGUUCAGGAAGGCUCUCGUGCCCCCUUGGCAGCGAGUGGAGAGCGUAAAAGGAGUCCUGCCUCUCCUGGCACACUGAGGGCGCCUGGGAGUCAUGAAAGGUGUUGAACAGAAAAGGGAUGGACAUGACCUGAGUUAGAAUUUGGAAAGUAUUUCAGUGGCUGCUGAAUGAACACACUACUGUAGAAGGUGGUUGUAGCGGGGCUGGAAGCAGGGAGACUGGGGGAGGUUAUUGCAGUAUUGUUCCAGACAGUUAUGAUAGUGGCCUGUCCAGAACGGAAGCAAGAAGGAUGGGAGAAGUGAUCAGAUUCCCAAUGGAUCUUCAAGAUAGAGCUAAUGGAAUUUUUUGCUACCUUAGAUAAGUGGAAUAAGCAUGAGUAGGGGUGAAGGAUCAUCCCAAGUAGUUAGGAAGAAUUAGGAUGCCUCCUGUGGAGAAUAGAGGUUGGCGGUUGGCAGGAGGAGGGUGUUUCAUGGAAGAUUCGCAAUGGAUUUUGUAGGUAUAGAGUCUGAAUUGUCUGGAGACCUGUGAGUGGAGGUAUCAAAUGCGCCUCUGGAUAUAUAGAAUUCUGGUGUGGCUUCAGGACGUCCAGACUGCAUUAUGUUGGUGGCCUGGACCAGUGAAGGGCCUGAAGAUAGGAUUUGGGAAGGAGGGUUUUAGGAUGGAGUUACAGAUGGGCCCGCAAGGUGAAGUGUUGAGACUAAGGACCAGUGGCUAGGGCUCAUGCUCAGUGCUUAGAUCACAUCUGUCUGCCCAUUGGCUUGGUGUUGCAGGGCUUAGUGACCUUUGAGGACAGGGUCAGUACAUCUUCCAAAAAUGUGGGGCUCCUUAGUGAGGUCCAAGGGGGCUUCUACAGUGACAUGAUACUACACAGCUUUGUACUCCUGUUCUCACUAGGUAAGGCUACUGUGUCUCCUCUUUCCCCUACACAUGAAAUCUAGGUUUUCCUCUGCCUUUCCAUUGUUCCCUGUGGGAGGUGCUGCUGGCCCUGGCACUGGCCAGUGUCCUGCUGAGUCCGGAAUUGUUUCCUUCCGGUGGGUUCUUGGUCUCGCUGACUUCAAGAAUAAAGCUGCGGACCCUCGUGGUGAGUGUUACAGUCUUAAAGAUAGUGUGUCUGGAGUUUGUUCCUUCAGAUGUUCAGAUGUGUCUGGAGUUUUUUCCUUCUGGUGGGUUCAUGGUCUUGCUGACUUCAGGACUGAAACCGCAGGAGUGAAGCCGCAGUGAGUGUUACAGCUCUUAAAGGUGGCACAUCCAGAGUUGUUCAUUCCUCCUGGUGGGUUCGUGGUCUUGCUGACUUCAGGAGUGAAGCUGCAGACCUUCACAGUGAGUGUUACAGCUCUUAAAGGUGGCGUGUCCGGUGUUGUUUGUUCCUCCCAGUGGGUUUGUGGUCUCGCUGGCUUCAGGAGUGAAACUGCAGACCUUUGUGGUGAGUGUUACAGCUCAUAAAGGUAGUGUGGACCCAAAGAGUGAGCAGCAGCAAGAUUUAUUGUGAAGAGCAAAAGAACAAAGCUUCUACAGCAUGGAAGAGGACCUGCCGGUUGCAGCUGCUGGCUUGGGUGGCCAGCUUUUAUUCUAUUUGGCCCUGCCCACAUCCUGCUGAUUGGUCCAUUUUACAGAGCACUGAUUGGUCCAUUUUUACAGAGUGCUGAUUGGUGAGUUUACAAACCUUUAGCUAGACACAGAGCACUGAUUGGUGUAUUUACAAUCCUUUAGCUAGACAGAAAAGUUUUUCAAGUCCCCAGCCGAUUAGCUAGACACAGAGCACUGAUUGGUGCGUUUACAAACCUUUAGGGAGACACAGAGCACUGAUUGGUGCAUUUUUACAGAGUGCUGAUUGGUGCGUUUACAAACCUUUAGCUAGACACAGAGUGCUGAUUGGUGCGUUUACAGUCCUUUAGCUAGACAGAAAAGUUCCCCAAGUCCCCACCGGACCCAGAAGCCCAGCUGGCAUCACCUUUCACUGCUACUUAUCCCUGGCUGCAGCACAAACCCCCACACCUUCUGCCCUGGGAUCUUGACAACCUUGUGAAGCCACAGUGAUGGUCCCUGCACCCACUCCUACACCAUUCUCCAGCUCUAGAGGCCUCCUGUAGCCCAAUCCACCAGCCACAAAAUGAGGACCACUAUGGCGGUGCCGGAAAUCUCACCCCUCAAUGCCCACCUGGAAUCGGAAGUCUCAAAACCUGUGUAGCAUAUCACAUGCAGCUGGGUCGUUUCCUGACUAGGUUACCCUGUCAGGAUCUGUGACUUUUCUGUGCUUUCUGCCACAUUCCCUCACUCUAGUAGGAGUUUUCUGCCAGCUGUCCCUUGUGAGUCCCAGUGGGCACUGACAUGGUCAUUGAUUGUGGGGUCACUGAGCAUUGACUUUGUGAGGUUCAGUUCUUACCAACUAUAUACCUGCACAGGUGAUCUUCACCAAUGGUGGUUUGUCAUGGGGUGGAUCACCUUGACGUGGGCUGCCUUCUCACAAACCACUUGAUGAGAGCGCUAUAGGAUCACUGCUGCCACCCCUGCCAUGUGAUCACCUAACUAGAACAAAUGAAGAGACCUGGCUGGUGGUCAAGGUGGCUUGAAUUAGGCCAUGGACAGAGAGGCCCCAUGGUGCACCAGUUCUGUUGAGUGGAAGACAGCUGUGGGAGAGCUGUUGGCAGUGCCCUGGUGGCUCACCUGGUACCUGAGUUGUGCCCUCCGUUGUCCUGGCACCAGGAUGUAUAGCCAUGCCUUUUUAAAAAAUUUUUCCUGACCUUCUUCUGACACUCUAUCGUACUUUCCCCUGACUCCUGUUUCCUGGAUGGCUUCCUCUCUGUCUUCCAAGAUUCAUUCUUUCCCCUUCUCCCCUCCUCCCCUCCAGUGGCCAGGUCCUCUACCAUUGGCCUCCCUUUAAUGUGUCUUGAACUGAUAAUGUAUCUUUAAAUAGUUGUUAUUUGCACGUGGUGGCUCAUACCUACAGUCCCACCUACUUGGGAUGCUGAGGCAGGAGGAGUGCUUGAGCCCAGGAGUUUGAGUCCAGCUUGGGCAACAUAACGAGAUCCUAUCUCUAAAAUAAAUAAAUACAUAAAUACCUAAAUAGUUUUUGAAAACCUCUUCUUCCAUGAGACUGGCUUGUUCCAUUUGAGGAGUAUGGGCAUAAGUGUCAAUGGUUCAAGACCUGGACUUCACUCACUGCAUGGUACUGGCCUAUCACCAGACACUAGGGCCCUGCAGCUCCACAUUUUGCAGAACCUACAGAGAACUGACACUGAAGAGAUAUCUGAUAAAUACACAGCAUAUGGAAAUGUGUUUGAGGAGAAGCAAACCUUUUCUCCUACCAAAAAACCUCACACUGGAAAAAAUUGCAAGUGUAUUAUAAGCAUGGGAAGGCCUUCACUUUUGUCUUCAUCCUGAGAAAGCAGGAGUACAUGCACAUCUUCAAAGGGCCUUACGAGUAUAGUAACAUGGGGAAUCCUCCAGCCAGAACUCCACCUCCUUUGAGCACCAAAAUGUUCACCCCAGAGAAAGUCCCCAUAAGUGCAAGGAGUGUGGCCCAGCCAUGAGCAAAAUUUUGCAAAACUCUAUUCUGUAUCAAAAUGGUCAUACCCUAUGAAGGACUCCUAAGUUCAGAGAAUGUGGGGCACUGCCAGCUGUCCUGGUGGCUUCCCUGGUACCUGACUUGAGGUUCAUACAUGUUAUAUUCAGAGUUCUGCUUUCAUUAGCAAAAACAAAUUAACACCGGAGAAUGGUUGUACAAAUGCAAUAACUACAUGAAAGCUUUCAGUGAAAUAUGAAACCUCAUCCUGCAGAAUUCUCAUCAGAGACAGGCCCACUGCAACGCAGCUAAUGUUGGAAAGCCUAUUCUCAAUUUUAAUCCUAUUUAGCACCAGCAAUUUACAACAUUGUGAGUGUAGCAUGUCGGAGAGCAAAAAAUUGCAGCUCCUGCCUUGAUGUGCACAAAGUGAUUCACACUGGAAAACCCUCUAUGAGUGCAGCCAGCAUGGGAGAGCAUCAGCCACAGCUCCUGCCUUGCUUGGCACCAGAAACUUCACCCUCGAGAAAAGCCUUUGAUUAUAGUAAAUGUAGGAAAGUCUUCAGCUCCUCUAUUUAGUAUAAAAGAAUUCACACUCGCCGGGUGUGGUGCCUCAUGCCGGUAAUCCCAGCACUUUGGGAGGCUGAGGCAGGGGGAUCACCUGAGGUCAGGAGUUUGAGACCAACCUGGCUAACAUGGCAAAACCCCCUCUUUACAAAAAAUACAAAAAUCAGCUGGGCAUGGUGACGCGCAUCUGUAAUCCCAGCUACACCAGAGGCUGAGGCAGGAGGAUUGCUUGACCUCAGGAGGCGGAGGUUGCAGUGAGCUGAGUUAGAGCCACUGUACCCCAGCCUGGGUGACAGAGCAAGACCCUGUCUCCCUCACCAGAAACAAACAAACAAAAAA
rnacentral:lncRNA from 1 species